ACUCCUACGGGAGGCAGCAGUGGGGAAUAUUGCACAAUGGGCGCAAGCCUGAUGCAGCCAUGCCGCGUGUGUGAAGAAGGCCUUCGGGUUGUAAAGCACUUUCAGUCGUGAGGAAGGUAGUGUAGUUAAUAGCUGCAUUAUUUGACGUUAGCGACAGAAGAAGCACCGGCUAACUCCGUGCCAGCAGCCGCGGUAAUACGGAGGGUGCGAGCGUUAAUCGGAAUUACUGGGCGUAAAGCGCAUGCAGGUGGUUUGUUAAGUCAGAUGUGAAAGCCCGGGGCUCAACCUCGGAAUAGCAUUUGAAACUGGCAGACUAGAGUACUGUAGAGGGGGUAGAAUUUCAGGUGUAGCGGUGAAAUGCGUAGAGAUCUG
rnacentral:rRNA from 1 species